rnacentral:ncRNA from 1 species
CCUGACGGAGCAAUACCGCGUGAGGGAGAAGGCUCUUGGUCGUAAACCUCUUUUUCAGGGAAGAACACAAUGACGGUACCUGAUGAAUCAGCAUCGGCUAACUCUGUGCCAGCAGCCGCGGUAAUACAGAGGAUGCAAGCGUUAUCCGGAAUUAUUGGGCGUAAAGCGUCCGCAGGUGGUUUUGGUAGUCUGCUGUCAAAGCGCGAGGCUCAACUUCGUAUCGGCGGUGGAAACUUCAAGACUAGAGCUAGGUAGGGGUCACGGGAAUUCCCAGUGUAGCGGUGAAAUGCGUAGAUAUUGGGAAGAACACCAGCGGCGAAAGCGCGUGACUGGGCCUGAGCUGACACUCAUGGACGAAAGCUAGGGGAGCGAAAGGGAUUAGAUACCCCUGUAGUCCUAGCCGUAAACGAUGACAACUAGGUGUUGCCCGUAUCGACCCGGGCAGUGCCGUAGCCAACGCGUUAAGUUGUCCGCCUGGGGAGUACGCACGCAAGUGUGAAACUCAAAGGAAUUGACGGGGGCCCGCACAAGCGGUGGAGUAUGUGGUUUAAUUCGAUGCAACGCGAAGAACCUUACCAAGGCUUGACAUGUCGCGAAUCUUCUUGAAAGGGAAGAGUGCCUUCGGGAGCGCGAACACAGGUGGUGCAUGGCUGUCGUCAGCUCGUGUCGUGAGAUGUUGGGUUAAGUCCCGCAACGAGCGCAACCCUCGUUUCUAGUUGCCAUCAUUAAGUUGGGCACUUUAGAGAGACUGCCGGUGACAAACCGGAGGAAGGUGGGGAUGACGUCAAGUCAGCAUGCCCCUUACGCCUUGGGCUACACACGUACUACAAUGCUACGGACAAAGAGUCGCAAGUUCGCGAGGACAAGCAAAUCUCAUAAACCGUGGCUCAGUUCAGAUUGCAGGCUGCAACUCGCCUGCAUGAAGGCGGAAUCGCUAGUAAUCGCAGGUCAGCAUACUGCGGUGAAUACGUUCCCGGGCCUUGUACACACCGCCCGUCACACCAUGGGAGUUGGCCACGCCCGAAGUCGUUACUCCAACCGUUCGCGGAGGAGGAUGCCGAAGGCAGGGCUGAUGACUGGGGAGCGUCGUAACAAGGUAGACGUACCGGAAGGUGUGGCUGUCAUCCCAAGGUCGAGGGAGAUCUACCCGUUUUUGACUUCUAAGCUAUGUAAACUGAGUGUUCGGGUUAUGGGCUAUUAGCUCCGGUGGUUAGAGCGCACCCCUGAUAAGGGUGAGGUCCCUGGUUCGAGUCCAGGAUGGCCCACCUUUACAAACGAGGGGGUUUAGCUCAGUUGGUAGAGCGCCUGCUUUGCAAGCAGGAUGUCAACGGUUCGAGUCCGUUAACCUCCACUGAGAUUUAAGAGUUUUCUAUAACCGACCGAACCGAAUUCAAUUUCACCAACUCAUCUAAUCAUUCCAGAGUCUGCUGGAAUUAUUCCAGUCAGAACCUUGAAAAGAGCAUAAUUUCUUGUCAGGUAGAAAGUAGUGGUCUUUCAGUGAAAUGCUCACAAGGCAAAUCAUUAAAAGGCGCAACAGAUAUCACAGACACCAAUGUUGAUUGAUUUAAGUGGUCAAGCUAACAAGGGCUGAUG